AGCAGCCGCGGUAAUUCCCAGCUCCAAUAGCGUAUAUUAAAGUUGUUGCAGUUAAAAAGCUCGUAGUUGAAUUUCGGGGUUAUAGGUUGGUCAUGCCUCUGGUAUGUACUGAUCUCACUGAUUCCUCCUUCCUGAUGAACCGUAAUGCCAUUAAUUUGGUGUUGCGGGGAAUUUGGACUGUUACUUUGAAAAAAUUAGAGUGUUUAAAGCAAGCUAACGCUUGAAUACAUUAGCAUGGAAUAAUGAAAUAGGACGUUCGAUCCUAUUUUGUUGGUUUCUAGGAUUUGACGUAAUGAUUAAUAGGGAUAGUUGGGGGCAUUAGUAUUCAAUUGUCAGAGGUGAAAAUUCUUGGAUUUUAUUGAAGACUAACUACUGCGAAAGCAUUUGCCAAGGAUGUUUUCAUUAAUCAAGAACGAAAGUUAGGGAUCGAAGACGAUCAGAUACCGUCGUAGUCUUAACCAUAAACUAUAGCCGACUAGGGAUCGGGAUGAUGUUAAUUUUUUAAUGUACUCAUUCGGCG
rnacentral:rRNA from 1 species